AAAAAAAGGGAAAAAAAGGCAAGUUUUUUCCUUUUUUUCUUGGCCUUUCUUGUAUUUGUUUUCCUUUAUUUGUCUGUCUUUUCCUUUCUAUUCUUUAUUUGUCUGUCUUUU
rnacentral:ribozyme from 1 species